AAAAAGAUAAGCUAAAAUAAGCUACCGGGCUCAUACCUCGUUUAUGAAUAAAAUCUCUUUUGA
rnacentral:tRNA from 4 species